UACGAAGGGGGCUAGCGUUGUUCGGAUUUACUGGGCGUAAAGCGCACGUAGGCGGAUUGUUAAGUCAGGGGUGAAAUCCUGGAGCUCAACUCCAGAACUGCCUUUGAUACUGGCAAUCUAGAGUCCGGAAGAGGUGAGUGGAACUCCUAGUGUAGAGGUGAAAUUCGUAGAUAUUAGGAAGAACACCGGUGGCGAAGGCGGCCCACUGGAUCGGUACUGACGCUGAGGUGCGAAAGCGUGGGGAGCAAACAGG
rnacentral:rRNA from 1 species